CCUUUCUCUGCGAUUUUCUCUGCGAUUUCUCCGGCGAUACCAUCUUCUUCCCUUCAAUCUCCAUCGAUUUCAGAAGAAGAGAAGUGUGUGUGCAAGUUAAGCUCAUUGGUGGAGAAGGGUGUGCAAGUUAAGCUCAUUGGUGGUAGACAAGAUGGAUGAUACACUAAACCUUGAAGAUGAUUAUAUGAGUGGAGAUGAUAUGUUUGAGCAUGAUAUGAAUCCGGAUGAAGAAGAACAUGUAGAAGGGGAACGUGUAGAAGCAGAUUCAGUAGCUAGUACGGCU